rnacentral:rRNA from 1 species
UACGUAGGUGGUGAGCGUUGUCCGGAAUUACUGGGUGUAAAGCGCGUGUAGGCGGGAGGCCAAGUCUGUGGUGAAAUCGCCUGGCUUAACUGGGCGGGGUCCAUGGAAACUGGUCACCUGGAGGUCGGUAGAGGCAAGUGGAAUUCCCGGUGUAGUGGUGAAAUGCGUAGAGAUCGGGAGGAACACCGGUGGCGAAGGCGGCUUUUUGGUCUGUAACUGACGCUGAGGCGCGAAAGCGUGGGGAGCAAACAGG